AACGAACGCUGGCGGCAGGCUUAACACAUGCAAGUCGAACGAGAUCUUCGGAUCUAGUGGCGCACGGGUGAGUAACGCGUGGGAAUCUACCUUGGAGUCUGGGAUAACAGUUGGAAACGACUGCUAAUACCGGAUACGCCCUUAGGGGGAAAGGUUUACUGCUCCGAGAUGAGCCCGCGUCCAAUUAGGUGGUUGGUGAGGUAAAGGCUCACCAAGCCGACGAUUGGUAGCUGGUCUGAGAGGAUGACCAGCCACACUGGGACUGAGACACGGCCCAGACUCCUACGGGAGGCAGCAGUGGGGAAUAUUGGACAAUGGGGGCAACCCUGAUCCAGCCAUGCCGCGUGAGUGAUGAAGGCCUUAGGGUUGUAAAGCUCUUUCGCCGGUGACGAUGAUGACGGUAACCGGAGAAGAAGCCCCGGCUAACUUCGUGCCAGCAGCCGCGGUAAUGUCAGUG
rnacentral:rRNA from 1 species